UACGUAGGGGGCUAGCGUUGUCCGGAUUUAUUGGGCGUAAAGAGCGUGUAGGCGGCCAAGCAGGUCCGCUGUGAAAACUCGAGGCUCAACCUCGAGACGCCGGUGGAAACCAUCAGACUAGAGUCCGGAAGAGGAGAGUGGAAUUCCUGGUGUAGCGGUGAAAUGCGCAGAUAUCAGGAAGAACACCCGUGGCUAAGGCGGCUCUCUAGUACGGUACUGACGCUGAGACGCGAAAGCGUGGGGAGCGAACAGG
rnacentral:rRNA from 1 species